GUUGAACGCUGGCGGCAUGCCUAACACAUGCAAGUCGAACGGAUGAAGGGAGCUUUCUCCUGGAUUCAGCGUCGGACGGGUGAGUAAUGCCUAGGAAUCUCCCUCGUAGUGGGGGAUAACGUCCGGAGACGGGCGCUAAUACCACAUACGUCCUGAUGGAGCAAGUGGGUGGGCUUCGGACCUCACGCUAUCAGAUGGAUCUAGGUGGGAUUAGCUAGUUGGUGGGCUAAAGGCCUACCAAGGCGACGAUCCGUAAAUGGUCUGAGAGGAUGAUCAGUCACCUUGGAGGUGAGACAGCCACAAGAGUCCUACGGGAGGCCGCAGUCGGCAACAGGGGACAACGGGCGAAAGCCUGACACAGUGAUGCCGAGUGUGUGAAGAAGGUCUUCGGAUCGUAAAGCCGGCUAAGUUGGGAGGAAGGGCAGUAAGUUAAUACCUUGCUGGAUUGACGGUACCAAGAGAAUAAGCACCGGCUAACUACGUG
rnacentral:rRNA from 1 species